rnacentral:rRNA from 1 species
UACGUAGGGGGCAAGCGUUGUCCGGAAUCAUUGGGCGUAAAGAGCGCGUAGGCGGCCCUGUAAGUCCGCUGUGAAAGUCAAGGGCUCAACCCUUGGAUGCCGGUGGAUACUGCAGGGCUAGAGUCCGGAAGAGGCGAGUGGAAUUCCUGGUGUAGCGGUGAAAUGCGCAGAUAUCAGGAGGAACACCGAUGGCGAAGGCGGCU